rnacentral:rRNA from 1 species
GACGAACGCUGGCGGCGUGCUUAACACAUGCAAGUCGAACGGAAAGGCCCUGCUUUUGUGGGGUGCUCGAGUGGCGAACGGGUGAGUAACACGUGAGUAACCUGCCCUUGACUUUGGGAUAGCUUCAGGAAACUGGGGCUAAUACCGGAUAGGAGCUCCUGCUGCAUGGUGGGGGUUGGAAAGUUUCGGCGGUUGGGGAUGGACUCGCGGCUUAUCAGCUUGUUGGUGGGGUAGUGGCUUACCAAGGCUUUGACGGGUAGCCGGCCUGAGAGGGUGACCGGCCACAUUGGGACUGAGAUACGGCCCAGACUCCUACGGGAGGCAGCAGUGGGGAAUACUGCACAAUGGGCGGAAGCCUGAUGCAGCAACGCCGCGUGCGGGAUGACGGCCUUCGGGUUGUAAACCGCUUUCGCCUGUGACGAAGCGUGAGUGACGGUAAUGGGUAAAGAAGCACCGGCUAACUACGU